ACGUAGGGCGCAAGCGUUGUCCGGAAUUAUUGGGCGUAAAGAGCUCGUAGGCGGUCUGUUACGUCUGCUGUGAAAACCCGGGGCUUAACCCUGGGCUUGCAGUGGAUACGGGCAGACUAGAGGCAGGUAGGGGAGAAUGGAAUUCCCGGUGUAGCGGUGAAAUGCGUAGAUAUCUGGAGGAACACCGGUGGCGAAGGCGGCAUCCUGGACCAAUUCUGACGCUGAGGAGCGAAAGCCAGGGGAGCAAACGGG
rnacentral:rRNA from 1 species